GCGACUGCUAAUACCGAAUGUGCCUUAGGGUGAAAGAUUUAUUGUCUAGAGAUUGGCUCGCGUCAGAUUAGCUAGUUGGAGUGGUAACGGCACACCAAGGCGACGAUCUGUACUUGGUCUGAGAGGAUGACCAGGCACACUGGAACUGAGACACGGUCCAGACUCCUACGGGAGGCAGCAGUGGGGAAUUUUCCGCAAUGGGCGAAAGCCUGACGGAGCAAUACCGCGUGAGGGAGGACGGCUUUUGGGUUGUAAACCUCUUUUAUCAGGGAAGAAUCGAUGACGGUACCUGAUGAAUCAGCAUCGGCUAACUCCGUGCCAGCAGCCGCGGUAAUACGGAGGAUGCAAGCGUUAUCCGGAAUUAUUGGGCGUAAAGCGUCCGUAGGUGGUUUAUCAAGUCUGCUGUCAAAGCGUGCGGCUUAACCGCAUAAGGGCAGUGGAAACUGAUGAACUAGAGUGCGAUAGGGGUAACAGGAAUUCCCAGUGUAGCGGUGAAAUGCGUAGAUAUUGGGAAGAACACCAGCGGCGAAAGCGUGUUACUGGGUCUGCACUGACACUGAGGGACG
rnacentral:rRNA from 1 species